rnacentral:pre_miRNA from 1 species
CACCACAAGUUGGUGAAGCUGCCAGCAUGAUCUGAUGAUCGAUCUACCUCUCGAUCUCCUGUGUUCUUAAUGGUCACAGAUCGAUCGAUCAGGUCAUGCUGUAGUUUCAUCUGCUGGUUGG